UACGUAGGGUGCAAGCGUUGUCCGGAAUUAUUGGGCGUAAAGAGCUCGUAGGCGGUUUGUCGCGUCUGCUGUGAAAGUCCGAGGCUCAACCUCGGAAUCUGCAGUGGGUACGGGGCAGACUAGAGUGUGGUAGGGGAGACUGGAAUUCCUGGUGUAGCGGUGGAAUGCGCAGAUAUCAGGAGGAACACCAAUGGGCGAAGGCAGGUCUCCUGGGCCACACUGACGC
rnacentral:rRNA from 1 species